GACCAGUGCCAACAUGUUCUGAGGUACAAAAACGAGCAGUUUGGUUGUGCAAUUUGAUUGCGAAAGGUCGUGGAUAUCUAAGAUGGAUUUGGUCUAUAAAUACGUUUACUUUUAUUGUCUUUUCUUUUGCAGUUCACGGUCUUUCUUUAAUCGGAGGAAUUGACUUGAGAUCUGUGCAUCUGGACGCGUAUUCUGUAUGGAAUUGCGUUCAGAGGAAGACGGAGCACCUUUUGGACGCGUCGUUUUCUCUUUACUGAGCACAAUUUUUUUUGUGUUUCUGUAAUGUGCCUCAGUUUUUUCUCUUCGUUAACCCUAGACUAUCUCAUCGGUGCACAGGAAAUACAAUGGUACUAUUCUCUGUAUGGAGCAUUUUGUCGUGUCUUGUUACAUCACUUUCCAUGGAACUGUUGUCCCGUUUAUGGGAUCGCGUGCACGUUUGAGUUAGUCUACUUUCUCUAAGCGUGUUCGUGAGACUGUACUGGUUAGAGCAGCUUUACUUAUUUUGUCCAUUGCUUUUUUUAGCAGAAAAAUGGCAAUUGACUGUAUAGUUGCUCGGUUUCGUUAGAUCGUUCACACCAAGUACUCGCGAGUGUAGCUUUCCUUGUGUAAGAACGAGUCAGGGCAGCGAAAAGCUGCGAUCCUGAUUGUACCGUUCAUGGCAUGAACGGAUGCAGGACGUUCUCCUUUUGUGCUGCAUCAUAGUAUUGCUUGCCCAAGUAGACGAGCAAGCUGUGUGAAAAACUGGGGCGUUUAAGCACCUGGAGAAUACGCUCGCGUACCUUGUUCUCUACAGAUCGCAAUGUGUUCUUGGCAGGUCAGUGUGCCCUUGACUGCAUCUGCGCCAUGCAGGGAAUUGUCCAGAAAUGUUUCUCUUUUGUGCCUUGCGUUUAAGGGAGGUCGCCGGCGCCUUCUUGCGUUUCAAGACUAAGCACUGAACUUACGGUUGAGCUGUUUGUGUUUUCGAGUGCAACUUGCCCGUUGGCAUCUUCCUUAAAUGGCCGAGUAUCCUUAGUGUGCCAGCUUUUCGUUGGUUACGCGUUGGGAGUUGAAUCAUCCCUCAAGUUUUUUACUCGAGGCAUCGGUUUUUUGGCCGGUACUUUGACCGUGCCUGUUUUGUUUGUCCGUUGCUUGCAACGGUAAACACGGGAUUGAAUCAAAAACCGGUAUGUUGACCCAAGGAGCCCUCCAACAAAGGCAGUAUGGUUUAUGCUAUGUAUAGAUCCAACCGCUCAAGAUUGAACCGGCGUUCAUCAAAUGCGGUGUUUUAAACAUCGCACGACUAGAUGCUUUCAUCAUUGUGUAAGAACGAUGUUAGCAAUUUCAGUGAGUGCCGAUGAACGAGUGUUUGUGAAGGGGAUCUGCGGAUCAAAGUAUGUUUACUUGUCUUUUCGCACACCUGUGUUGUCGCGCUUAACUGGGUGCUUGAAAGCAUUUACACGUUGCACAACUAAGCGUGCAUCCUCUUUUUGUGCGGCAGCAGGGCAUGAGUUUAUGAGAGUUUUUUUUCUUUUUUUUUUUCUCUUUUUUUGCAUAAAG
rnacentral:telomerase_RNA from 1 species